rnacentral:rRNA from 1 species
GGGUUGUGAGGUUAAGCGACUAAGCGUACACGGUGGAUGCCCUGGCAGUCAGAGGCGAUGAAGGACGUGCUAAUCUGCGAAAAGCGUCGGUAAGGUGAUAUGAACCGUUAUAACCGGCGAUGUCCGAAUGGGGAAACCCAGUGCAAUUCGUUGCACUAUCGUUAACUGAAUACAUAGGUUAACGAGGCGAACCGGGGGAACUGAAACAUCUAAGUACCCCGAGGAAAAGAAAUCAACCGAGAUUCCCCCAGUAGCGGCGAGCGAACGGGGAGCAGCCCAGAGUCUGAAUCAGCUUGUGUGUUAGUGGAACGGUCUGGAAAGUCCGACGGUACAGGGUGAUAGUCCCGUACACCAAAAUGCACAGGCUGUGAACUCGAAGAGUAGGGCGGGACACGUGGUAUCCUGUCUGAAUAUGGGGGGACCAUCCUCCAAGGCUAAAUACUCCUGACUGACCGAUAGUGAACCAGUACCGUGAGGGAAAGGCGAAAAGAACCCCGGCGAGGGGAGUGAAAAAGAACCUGAAACCGUGUACGUACAAGCAGUGGGAGCACCUUCGGGUGUGACUGCGUACCUUUUGUAUAAUGGGUCAGCGACUUAUAUUCUGUAGCAAGGUUAACCGUAUAGGGGAGCCGCAGGGAAACCGAGUCUUAACUGGGCGUUAAGUUGCAGGGUAUAGACCCGAAACCCGGUGAUCUAGCCAUGGGCAGGUUGAAGGUUGGGUAACACUAACUGGAGGACCGAACCGACUAAUGUUGAAAAAUUAGCGGAUGACUUGUGGCUGGGGGUGAAAGGCCAAUCAAACCGGGAGAUAGCUGGUUCUCCCCGAAAGCUAUUUAGGUAGCGCCUCGUGAAUUCAUCUUCGGGGGUAGAGCACUGUUUCGGCUAGGGGGUCAUCCCGACUUACCAACCCGAUGCAAACUACGAAUACCGAAGAAUGUUAUCACGGGAGACACACGGCGGGUGCUAACGUCCGUCGUGAAGAGGGAAACAACCCAGACCGCCAGCUAAGGUCCCAAAGUCAUGGUUAAGUGGGAAACGAUGUGGGAAGGCACAGACAGCCAGGAUGUUGGCUUAGAAGCAGCCAUCAUUUAAAGAAAGCGUAAUAGCUCACUGGUCGAGUCGGCCUGCGCGGAAGAUGUAACGGGGCUAAACCAUGCACCGAAGCUGCGGCAGCGACACUAUGUGUUGUUGGGUAGGGGAGCGUUCUGUAAGCCUGCGAAGGUGUGCUGUGAGGCAUGCUGGAGGUAUCAGAAGUGCGAAUGCUGACAUAAGUAACGAUAAAGCGGGUGAAAAGCCCGCUCGCCGGAAGACCAAGGGUUCCUGUCCAACGUUAAUCGGGGCAGGGUGAGUCGACCCCUAAGGCGAGGCCGAAAGGCGUAGUCGAUGGGAAACAGGUUAAUAUUCCUGUACUUGGUGUUACUGCGAAGGGGGGACGGAGAAGGCUAUGUUAGCCGGGCGACGGUUGUCCCGGUUUAAGCAUGUAGGCUGGUUAUCCAGGCAAAUCCGGAUAAUCAAGGCUGAGGUGUGAUGACGAGGCACUACGGUGCUGAAGUAACAAAUGCCCUGCUUCCAGGAAAAGCCUCUAAGCAUCAGGUAACAUCAAAUCGUACCCCAAACCGACACAGGUGGUCAGGUAGAGAAUACCAAGGCGCUUGAGAGAACUCGGGUGAAGGAACUAGGCAAAAUGGUGCCGUAACUUCGGGAGAAGGCACGCUGGUGUGUAGGUGAAGCCCCUGCGGGUGGAGCUGAGACCAGUCGAAGAUACCAGCUGGCUGCAACUGUUUAUUAAAAACACAGCACUGUGCAAACACGAAAGUGGACGUAUACGGUGUGACGCCUGCCCGGUGCCGGAAGGUUAAUUGAUGGGGUUAUCCGUAAGGAGAAGCUCUUGAUCGAAGCCCCGGUAAACGGCGGCCGUAACUAUAACGGUCCUAAGGUAGCGAAAUUCCUUGUCGGGUAAGUUCCGACCUGCACGAAUGGCGUAAUGAUGGCCAGGCUGUCUCCACCCGAGACUCAGUGAAAUUGAACUCGCUGUGAAGAUGCAGUGUACCCGCGGCAAGACGGAAAGACCCCGUGAACCUUUACUAUAGCUUGACACUGAACAUUGAGCCUUGAUGUGUAGGAUAGGUGGGAGGCUUUGAAGCGUGGACGCCAGUCUGCGUGGAGCCAACCUUGAAAUACCACCCUUUAAUGUUUGAUGUUCUAACGUUGGCCCCUGACCGGGGUUGCGGACAGUGUCUGGUGGGUAGUUUGACUGGGGCGGUCUCCUCCCAAAGCGUAACGGAGGAGCACGAAGGUUAGCUAAUCCUGGUCGGACAUCAGGAGGUUAGUGCAAUGGCAUAAGCUAGCUUGACUGCGAGCGUGACGGCGCGAGCAGGUGCGAAAGCAGGUCAUAGUGAUCCGGUGGUUCUGAAUGGAAGGGCCAUCGCUCAACGGAUAAAAGGUACUCCGGGGAUAACAGGCUGAUACCGCCCAAGAGUUCAUAUCGACGGCGGUGUUUGGCACCUCGAUGUCGGCUCAUCACAUCCUGGGGCUGAAGUAGGUCCCAAGGGUAUGGCUGUUCGCCAUUUAAAGUGGUACGCGAGCUGGGUUUAGAACGUCGUGAGACAGUUCGGUCCCUAUCUGCCGUGGGCGCUGGAGAAUUGAGGGGGGCUGCUCCUAGUACGAGAGGACCGGAGUGGACGCAUCACUGGUGUUCGGGUUGUCAUGCCAAUGGCACUGCCCGGUAGCUAAAUGCGGAAGAGAUAAGUGCUGAAAGCAUCUAAGCACGAAACUUGCCCCGAGAUGAGUUCUCCCUGAGACUUUAAGUCUCCUGAAGGAACGUUAAAGACGAUGACGUUGAUAGGCCGGGUGUGUAAGCGCAGCGAUGCGUUGAGCUAACCGGUACUAAUGAACCGUGAGGCUUAACCUUACAACGCCGAAG